rnacentral:rRNA from 1 species
AACGUAGGGGACAAGCGUUAUCCGGAUUUACUGGGCGUAAAGCGCCCGUAGGCGGCCUGACAAGUUGGACGUGAAAGCUCCUGGCUUAACCCGGAAAGGUCAGCCGAUACUGCGGGGCUAGAGUGCAGAAGGGGCAACUGGAAUUCUCGGUGUAGCGGUGAAAUGCGUAGAUAUCGAGAGGAACACCUGCGGCGAAGGCGGGUUGCUGGGCUGACACUGACGCUGAUGCGCGAAAGCUAGGGGAGCGAACGGG